GUCGGUUUGAAAGACAGACCUCAUACAAAGCAGUUUAUUAAAGCAGUUCUCAUCCUCAGGCGUUAUCCCAGAUAUCCCUUCUUUUUGAGUUCCUCCAUUAAGCGCUAAGUAGUUUCUGUAAAACAGGCCAUGUUCGCCUAAAAAGGCUCAAUUAAAGGAAAUAUCACAUGUCUAAUAAAAUGACUGGUUUAGUAAAAUGGUUUAAUGCGGAUAAAGGUUUUGGUUUUAUCUCUCCUUCUGAUGGGAGCAAAGAUGUGUUCGUACACUUCUCUGCUAUUCAGAGCAACGAUUACCGCACUUUGUCCGAAGGCCAGAAGGUCGAGUUCACCAUUGAGAACGGUGCCAAAGGCCCGGCGGCGGCAAACGUUGUACCCACAGCGUAAAGUCUUGCCUGAAUUUCUUCCUCUGCGAUAACGAAGACGGCCU
rnacentral:sRNA from 1 species